GUUUUGAAACAGUUCAAUUGAAAUUUUUUGCCAUCAGUGCCAAAAUUAAAAACUCUAAAUAGUUCUGGAGAAAUCAAGAUCGAGGAAGCGCGAGGCCGGGAACUGGUACCCCUGAAAAAUGAUAUUAUCAAUACGACGAAAAUUACAGAAUUAUCUUGCACCAGAGUCAGGUUCAAUAGUUGAACAUGUACCAGAAAGAACUAGAAAUUUGUCAUAAUUCUGAUCAGAAACUGGAUUCCCGUGUUCUCAACUGUCUCAGGUUCAUCAAAUUCUACACCCGUUUUCCGAAGUAAAGGAGUACCUGGAAUGUCCAAAAUAUGACGACGUAAUGUUUUACAUGUACG